CCCUGCUGAGCAGGGAGCCCGAUGCGGGACUCGAUCCCGGGACUCCAGGAUCAUGACCUGAGCUGAAGGCAGUCGCUUAACCAACUGAGCCACUCAGGCGCCCAGUAGUUCUUGAUCCUAGUGUGUGUCAGGAACACACAGACAGUUGAGAUUUGUUAUCUCAUCGGUUCAGUUCUCUGUGGCUGUACCAAGGUGGACAUAGAUACCCGGAACUAGGUAUGUACUCAUUACCCUCACCAGUCUUUCUUCCUCACGUCACCCUAAGAGGAUCUGUAUGAGCUUAACUUCAUGAUAUUCAUACACCAUGUUUUGUGUUGUUUUGUUUUUUAAGAUUUUUUAUUUAUUUGACAGAGCACAAGCAGAGGGAGAGAGAGGGAGAAGCAGGCUCCCUGCUGAGCAAGGAGCCCGAUGUGGGACUCGAUCCCAGAACCCUGGGAUCAUGACCCGGGCCGAAGGCAGCCGCUUAACCGACUGAGCCACCCAGGCAUCCCCCUUUACACCGUGUUUUUUAUUGCAUUGUUUGGAGAUUAGGGGCCACGAGAAAGUAAUGGAAAAAACUGGCUAACACAAAGUACCUUUUCACAGGUAAAGUGCAAGUUAAGAGUUCAGACAUACAAGUUGGAGACCUCAUCAUAGUGGAAAAGGAUUUCCAGGAAAUGUUGAACAGAAGUGAUGAUGGCAGGCAUCUGUCUCAUUCCUGGGAUCGGAGGGAAAGUUUUCAGUAUCUCACCAUUAACUAUGAUUUUACUGUAGGUUUUUUUGAAGACACAUAUUUACAGAUUAAGGAAGCUUUCUCUAUUCCUAAGUUUUUAAAUAACAAAUGUAAGUACUGAAUUUUACCAACUGUGUGUUCAUCUUCUGAGAAAAUCAUAUUAUUUUUCCCCUUUAUUCUGUUAAUGUGUUGAGUUACAUUGAUUGACAUUUUUAAUAUUAAAGAACCUUGCAUGCCUACCUAGAAUAGAAGUAACUUGAUUAUGAUAUAUUACCUUUUUUAAUAAAUUGAUAUUCUAUUUGCAAAUA